rnacentral:rRNA from 1 species
UGCGCAGGCGGCCGUGUGUGUUAGAUGUGAAAUCCCGGGGCUCAACCCCGGAACUGCGUCUAAAACUACAUGGCUAGAGUAUUGGAGAGGGUAGCGGAAUUCACGGUGUAGCAGUGAAAUGCGUAGAUAUCGUGAGGAACACCAGAGGCGAAGGCGGCUACCUGGACAAUUACUGACGCUCAGGCACGAAAGCGUGGGAGCAAAAG